CAUGAAUGUGCUGCCGUCCCAAAAGUUAUAAGAAGUAAAUUAUUUAUUUUGUUGUCUCGCAAACUAUUUUCCCUCAAUAUUCUUUUUUAUAUACUAUCAAUAACUGAACUUAUAGGGUCACCACUGUGUUGAAACAUUUCUGCUGAUUUUUGGACUGGUUUCAAGCUUUGAUUUGUAGUGAGAGCAUUCAUGUAGAUGCUUUAAGCUGUCUUGUUAACUGAUAUGAUGUAAACUCAAUGCAAUAUUAUUAAAUGACUCAACUGAU
rnacentral:misc_RNA from 1 species